GCCUAACACAUGCAAGUCGAGCGGUAACAGGAAAGAAGCUUGCUUCUUUUGCUGACGAGCGGCGGACGGGUGAGUAAUGCCUGGGAACAUGCCUUAGUGUGGGGGAUAACCAUUGGAAACGAUGGCUAAUACCGCAUAACGUCUACGGACCAAAGAGGGGGAUCUUCGGACCUCUCGCGCUAAGAUUGGCCCAGGUGGGAUUAGCUAGUAGGUGGGGUAAAGGCUCACCUAGGCGACGAUCCCUAGCUGGUCUGAGAGGAUGAUCAGCCACACUGGAACUGAGACACGGUCCAGACUCCUACGGGAGGCAGCAGUGGGGAAUAUUGCACAAUGGGGGAAACCCUGAUGCAGCCAUGCCGCGUGUGUGAAGAAGGCCUUCGGGUUGUAAAGCACUUUCAGUUGUGAGGAAGGCAGUAGCGUUAAUAGCGNCUAUUUUGGACGUUAGCAACAAAAGAAGCACC
rnacentral:rRNA from 1 species